rnacentral:rRNA from 1 species
GACGAACGCUGGCGGCGUGCUUAACACAUGCCAGUCGAACGGAAAGGCCCUGCUUUUGUGGGGUGCUCGAGUGGCGAACGGGUGAGUAACACGUGAGUAACCUGCCCUUGACUUUGGGAUAACUUCAGGAAACUGGGGCUAAUACCGGAUAGGAGCUCCUGCUGCAUGGUGGGGGUUGGAAAGUUUCGGCGGUUGGGGAUGGACUCGCGGCUUAUCAGCUUGUUGGUGGGGUAGUGGCUUACCAAGGCGUUGACGGGUAGCCGGCCUGAGAGGGUGACCGGCCACAGUGGGACUGAGAUACGGCCCAGACUCCUACGGGAGGCAGCAGUGGGGAAUAUUGCACAAUGGGCGGAAGCCUGAUGCAGCAACGCCGCGUGCGGGAUGACGGCCUUCGGGUUGUAAACCGCUUUCGCCUGUGACGAAGCGUGAGUGACGGUAAUGGGUAAAGAAGCACCGGCUAACUACGUG